rnacentral:rRNA from 1 species
GACGAACGCUGGCGGCGUGCUUAACACAUGCAAGUCGAACGGAAAGGCCCCCAUCUUGGUGGGGGUGCUCGAGUGGCGAACGGGUGAGUAACACGUGGGUGAUCUGCCCUGUACUUCGGGAUAAGCUUGGGAAACUGGGUCUAAUACCGGAUAGGACCAUGGUUUAGUGUCUCAUGGUGGAAAGAUUAUUGUUUUGGUGCAGGAUGAGCUCGCGGCCUAUCAGCUUGUUGGUGGGGUAAUGGCCUACCAAGGCGUCGACGGGUAGCCGGCCUGAGAGGGUGGACGGCCACAUUGGGACUGAGAGACGGCCCAGACUCCUACGGGAGGCAGCGGUGGGGAAUAUUGCACAAUGGGCGCAAGCCUGAGGCAGCGACGCCGCGUGGGGGAUGACGGCCUUCGGGUUGUAAACUCCUUUCGUUAGGGACGAAGCCGCACUUUUUUUGGGUGUGGUGACGGUACCUUUGUUAAGAAGCACCGGCUAACUACGUG